GAGCCCAGGAGGCGGGGCGCCUGUGGGAGCCGUGGAGGGAACUUUCCCAGUCCCCGAGGCGGAUCCGGUGUUGCAUCCUUGGAGCGAGCUGAGAGCUCGAGGUGAGCUGGGCUCGCGGUCGCCCCUCUCGCGCGCCCUCUUUAAGAACCACGGCGUCCAACCUCCCUGGAAAUGGGGGGAACAUGGCCGAGGCGCGUGGCGAGGCCGCCUCGUGGAGGCCCCGGAGCGGCAUCCUCAGCGCCCCAGCGAUCCGGUGCCCAUUAGAACCUGCUAAGGCCAUCAAACCUAUUGAUCGGAAGUCAGUCCAUCAGAUUUGCUCUGGGCCGGUGGUACCGAGUCUAAGCACUGCGGUGAAGGAGUUAGUAGAAAACAGUCUGGAUGCUGGUGCCACUAAUAUUGAUCUAAAGCUUAAGGACUAUGGAGUGGAUCUCAUUGAAGUUUCAGGCAAUGGAUGUGGGGUAGAAGAAGAAAACUUCGAAGGCUUAACUCUGAAACAUCACACAUCUAAGAUUCAAGAGUUUGCCGACCUACCUCAGGUUGAAACUUUUGGCUUUCGGGGGGAAGCUCUGAGCUCACUUUGUGCACUGAGUGAUGUCACCAUUUCUACCUGCCAUGUAUCGGCGAAGGUUGGGACUCGACUGGUGUUUGAUCACUAUGGGAAAAUCAUCCAGAAAACCCCCUACCCCCACCCCAGAGGGAUGACAGUCAGUGUGAAGCAGUUAUUUUCUACGCUACCUGUGCACCAUAAAGAAUUUCAAAGGAAUAUUAAGAAGAAACGUGCCUGCUUCCCCUUCGCCUUCUGCCGUGAUUGUCAGUUUCCUGAGGCCUCCCCAGCCAUGCUUCCUGUACAGCCUGCAGAACUGUGAGUCAAUUAAACCUGUUUUCUUCAUAAAUUC
rnacentral:lncRNA from 1 species